rnacentral:rRNA from 1 species
UACGGGGGGGGCAAGCGUUGUUCGGAAUUACUGGGCGUAAAGGGCUCGUAGGUGGCCAACUAAGUCAGACGUGAAAUCCCCAGGCUCAACUUGGGAACUGCGUCUGAUACUGGAUGGCUUGAAUUCGGGAGAGGGAUGCAGAAUUCCAGGUGUAGCGGUGAAAUGCGCAGAUAUCAGGAGGAACACCAGCGGCGAAGGCGGCGCUCUGGGCUGGAACUGACGCUGAGGAGCGAAAGCGUGGGGGCGAACAGG